UACGUAGGGUGCAAGCGUUGUCCGGAAUUAUUGGGCGUAAAGAGCUCGUAGGCGGUUUGUCGCGUCUGCUGUGAAAACUCGGGGCUUAACCCCGGGCCUGCAGUGGGUACGGGCAGACUAGAGUGCGGUAGGGGAUACUGGAAUUCCUGGUGUAGCGGUGAAAUGCGCAGAUAUCAGGAGGAACACCUGUGGUGUAGACAGCUUACUGGACCAUUGCUGACGCUGAGACACGAAAGCGUGGGUAGCAAACAGG
rnacentral:rRNA from 1 species